rnacentral:rRNA from 1 species
AGUCGAGCGAGAAAGGUUUUCGGACUGAGUAAAGCGGCGGACGGGUGAGUAAUGCCUAGGAAUCUGCCUAGUAGUGGGGGACAACGUUUCGAAAGGAACGCUAAUACCGCAUACGUCCUACGGGAGAAAGUGGGGGAUCUUCGGACCUCACGCUAUUAGAUGAGCCUAGGUCGGAUUAGCUAGUUGGUAGGGUAAAGGCCUACCAAGGCGACGAUCCGUAACUGGUCUGAGAGGAUGAUCAGUCACACUGGAACUGAGACACGGUCCAGACUCCUACGGGAGGCAGCAGUGGGGAAUAUUGGACAAUGGGCGAAAGCCUGAUCCAGCCAUGCCGCGUGUGUGAAGAAGGCCUUCGGGUCGUAAAGCACUUUAAGUUGGGAGGAAGGGCUCAUAGCGAAUACCUGUGAGUUUUGACGUUACCAACAGAAUAAGCACCGGCUAACUUCGUGCCAGCAGCCGCGGUAAUACGAAGGGUGCAAGCGUUAAUCGGAAUUACUGGGCGUAAAGCGCGCGUAGGUGGCUUGAUAAGUUGGAUGUGAAAUCCCCGGGCUCAACCUGGGAACUGCAUCCAAAACUGUCUGGCUAGAGUGCGGUAGAGGGUAGUGGAAUUUCCAGUGUAGCGGUGAAAUGCGUAGAUAUUGGAAGGAACACCAGUGGCGAAGGCGACUACCUGGACUGACACUGACACUGAGGUGCGAAAGCGUG